rnacentral:rRNA from 1 species
GACGAACGCUGGCGGCGUGCUUAACACAUGCAAGUCGAACGGAAAGGCCUCUUUCGGGGGGUACUCGAGUGGCGAACAGGUGAGUAACACGUGAGUAACCUGCCCUUGACUUUGGGAUAACUUCAGGAAACUGGGGCUAAUACCGGAUAGGAGCUCCUGCUGCAUGGUGGGGGUUGGAAAGUUUCGGCGGUUGGGGAUGGACUCGCGGCUUAUCAGCUUGUUGGUGGGGUAGUGGCUUACCAAGGCUUUGACGGGUAGCCGGCCUGAGAGGGUGACCGGCCACAUUGGGACUGAGAUACGGCCCAGACUCCUACGGGAGGCAGCAGUGGGGAAUAUUGCACAAUGGGUGGGAGCCUGAUGCAGCAACGCCGUGUGCGGGAUGACGGCCUUCGGGUUGUAAACCGCUUUCGCUCAUGACGAAGCUUUGUGUGACGGUAGUGGGUAAAGAAGCACCGGCUAACUACGUG